UACGAAGGGGGCGAGCGUUGUUCGGAAUUACUGGGCGUAAAGGGCGCGCAGGCGGCCCUUGAAGUCAGGCGUGAAAGCCCCGGGCUCAACCUGGGAGGUGCGCUUGAUACUCGAGGGCUUGAGUGCGGGAGAGGAGAGUGGAAUUCCCAGUGUAGAGGUGAAAUUCGUAGAUAUUGGGAAGAACACCGGUGGCGAAGGCGGCUCUCUGGACCGUAACUGACGCUGAUGCACGAAAGCUAGGGGAGCAAACAGG
rnacentral:rRNA from 1 species